UACGGAGGGUGCGAGCGUUAAUCGGAAUCACUGGGCGUAAAGCGCGCGUAGGCGGCUUUUCAAGUCAGGGGUGAAAUCCCACGGCCCAACCGUGGAACUGCCUUUGAAACUGUAGAGCUUGAGUGUCGGAGAGGGUGGCGGAAUUCCAGGUGUAGGAGUGAAAUCCGUAGAUAUCUGGAGGAACACCGGUGGCGAAGGCGGCCACCUGGACGACAACUGACGCUGAGGUGCGAAAGCGUGGGUAGCAAACAGGAUUAGAUACCCUAGUAGUCCGGAACUACAAGUG
rnacentral:rRNA from 1 species